rnacentral:snRNA from 1 species
GUGCUCACUUUGGCAGCUCACAGCCUAAAGUCUGAAGGAGACAGACAUGAUUAGCAUGGCCCUGUGCAAGGAUGCCAUGUCGAUUUGUGAAGCGUUCUAUAUUUAA